GCCUGGCUGGCUCAGUCGGUAGAGCGUGUGACUCUUGAUCUCGCGGUCCUGAGUUCAAGGCCCAGGUUGGGGG
rnacentral:tRNA from 1 species